GCCUUCUCUGAAGCAAGCUACCUCCUGGGGAGACUACACAGACAGGCAGUUCUGAUUAUGUAUGCAAAUGCAGGUCUGGCCCUGCAGCUUAUUGGAGAGCCACACAGCUCAGCUAAGCCACCCUGGAGAAAGAAUCUUACAAAGAAUACUAAAGAGCAUCCAAGUGUGAAGAAUGAAACACACAGAUGAGAAAAUGGAGAACAAACCAGAAGCACUCGGUUGCUAAUAUUUCAAUGGGCAAAGAGCACGAACAGAUAAUUCACCAAAGAGAAAAC
rnacentral:lncRNA from 1 species